rnacentral:rRNA from 1 species
AUACGUAGGUCCCGAGCGUUGUCCGGAUUUAUUGGGCGUAAAGCGAGCGCAGGCGGUUUAAUAAGUCUGAAGUUAAAGGCAGUGGCUUAACCAUUGUUCGCUUUGGAAACUGUUAAACUUGAGUGCAGAAGGGGAGAGUGGAAUUCCAUGUGUAGCGGUGAAAUGCGUAGAUAUAUGGAGGAACACCGGUGGCGAAAGCGGCUCUCUGGUCUGUAACUGACGCUGAGGCUCGAAAGCGUGGGGAGCAAACAGGAUUAGAUACCCUGGUAGUCCACGCCGUAAACGAUGAGUGCUAGGUGUUAGGCCCUUUCCGGGGCUUAGUGCCGCAGCUAACGCAUUAAGCACUCCGCCUGGGGAGUACGACCGCAAGGUUGAA